rnacentral:lncRNA from 1 species
CGAGGUUGUCCUGCUGUGCUCCGCAGUGCUCCAACGCCGCGGGGCGGCUCCGGGCGCCGCCUCAGCUUCUACAGGAGAGACGUUGUGGGUGAGACAGAGGGAACAUCAAAUGAGAAACUGGGAAGAGAUAUGAAGUAGCGGGACCAGUUUUUCUAAGUGAGUAUUCUAAUCAUGAGACCAAGUACUGGGUGUUUGUGGGAACUGGAGGGUGUUUGAUUCGUGGGUUUUGAAGGGACCCCCAUGAGCAGAACUUGGAAUGAGAAAGGGA